GACGAACGCUGGCGGCGUGCUUAACACAUGCAAGUCGAACGGUAAGGCCCUUCGGGGUACACGAGUGGCGAACGGGUGAGUAACACGUGGGUGAUCUGCCCUGCACUUCGGGAUAAGCCUGGGAAGCUGGGUCUAAUACCGGAUAGGACCCUGGGAUGCAUGUCCUGGGGUGGAAAGCUUUUGCGGUGUGGGAUGGGCCCGCGGCCUAUCAGCUUGUUGGUGGGGUGAUGGCCUACCAAGGCGACGACGGGUAGCCGGCCUGAGAGGGUGACCGGCCACACUGGGACUGGGAUACGGCCCAGACUCCUACGGGAGGCAGAAGUGGGGAAUAUUGCACAAUGGGCGCAAGCCUGAUGCAGCGACGCCGCGUGAGGGAUGACGGCCUUCGGGUUGUAAACCUCUUUCAGCACCGACGAAGCGCAAGUGACGGUAGGUGCAGAAGAAGGACCGGCCAACUACGUGCCAGCCGCCGCCGUAA
rnacentral:rRNA from 1 species